AGCCAGAGAAGGAAACGGAAGACCACUCCAGUAUCUCUGCCAAGAAAAUCCCAAUGCGGUCACAAAGAACUGAACAGGAAGAAGAAGCUUAAACUGUAUGACUGAGAGGACCCGUUUGAAAGCAUCUGAAAGCACCAGGACAACGCUGCAAGGCAUUGUUGUGUCUCAGUUCAUUUACCCUGAGUUAGAGAUGCAUCACUAUUCAAAGAAGACCCUAGUAUGAAUCAUUGGAAGCUACAGAAGAGAAAUGGCAAGACAGAAGGAAGAAAAUGUGAAGACUUUGCCCCUGCUUGAAAAAAGCAGAGCCGGAGAAUCGGAAGAAAAGAGCGGCUGCUCCGCAUGGAGUUGGAAUGCAAUCACAAAGAAGUCAGUUUUGGAGAGCUCAUUGGAGGAAAGCGGAAUCCUUCUGCUGGAAGAACCAUCUGGGUCCAGCGGCAAGAUGUUCUGGAGGAG